AGAUAAUUAGUUAAUUAUAAUAUGACUUUGUCAAAGUCAAGUUGCCCAUUUAGGUAUUAUCUU
rnacentral:tRNA from 1 species